rnacentral:rRNA from 1 species
UACGUAGGGGGCGAGCGUUGUCCGGAUUUACUGGGCGUAAAGAGCGCGCAGGCGGCAUGUCAAGUAAGGUGUGAAAUCUCCCUGCUCAACGGGGAGUAUGCAUUUUAGACUGGCAAGCUAGAGGACGGUAGAGGGGGGUAGAAUUGCUGGUGUAGCGGUGAAAUGCGUAGAGAUCAGCAGGAAUACCCGUGGCGAAGGCGGCCCCCUGGGCCGAACCUGACGCUGAGGCGCGAAGGCUAGGGGAGCGAACGGG